rnacentral:lncRNA from 1 species
CCAUGACUAGUUCUCAAAAUUGAAAUCUCUCUCAAGUUUAGGCACGACUGUUAUAAAUUAAGAUUGUGGGAAGAGUACUUGAUCUAAAGUCUAAGUCGUUAAUGGAUAUGAUAUGGGAAGGUUGAGCUGUUGUUUAUCUGUUCCUAGAGAUGCUAGAAUUCUAGAGAAUUUUAUCUUUGAAAAUCUUUAAAAUAUUGCAUGAUGAGUUCCUGUAUAAUGAGAGUUUAAAAUCGUACCACAGCCAUAUAUACAUGCUUAUUAGACUAUGAACCAUACAUUUACUUUUUACUGCUUAUGAGCAUUGAGUGUGGUCAAGCUGUGUAGACCCUUAGGAGCUUGUCAUGCGGUUAAAAUCAAGAUUCACUUGCACGUUCACUCAUACAUGCUACUUCUACUCCGGAAGUACGUAUCCACAUACAUCCACUCAAUUCCAUCUCUAGAUUCACCUAAAAUUAUUCUACUCAUAUCUGGGAGAGAAUAGCCAAAAACUAUUUCCUAUCCCUGUUAUUCCCUGUGAAAUAAAUGCUCGAGUUAUCUUGGUUACUACCACUUGCUAUAUUAUUCUAGGAGGAUGAGUGCUCUGAAAAAAUAUGAAUACGAGAAAAUAAAAAGGGGCAAGUGCCUGAAACCUCGAAAAAAGAAAAAGUGAGACGAGAGGUAAAAAUGGACAAGUGUCCGAUAGUAGAAUUACGGGUACAAGAUACCCACCUGAGAGAAAAGAAAAAUAAAAUAUAGAACAUCUCAUUCCCCUCAAAAGCCUCAAGUGCAAGGAAGGUAUGUACCCUCUCAAAAGAGCAAAAGUAGAAUUAGACUUUCACCAUUAUUUUCACCAUUAUCACAAUUCAUUCGCCACACAUGCACAUCUUGAUUUGACUUAUUGACUUGUUCUUCUGGAUCCAUAGUUUGACUAUGCAAUAAAUGUCUUGUAAGUAUGUAUUAGCGGUCUCCCACCUAUGAGCUCCAAAUAUCAAAACCUUCUUAGAGUAGGGUGAGAGAGAAGGCAAUAUCACUAUGCCUCAUACCAAAAAUACCACAUACUUUGAGAGAAGACAAACACCAUUACUGCCUUGGUAAGGAUCCAGAAAUACCACAAAAGAGAGACUAGAGAGAGUCAUACAAGGAAUAUCUGAGUUUUAUUUGAAAAUCUGCCAAAAAAACUCCAGAGCUAUAGUUGAUCAAGAACAAGAGACAUGGCGCUUGACUUGACCGUUCUAUUCUUUAACUACUCAAGACACAAGUGACGGUUACAAGCCCCAUGGUGGAAGGUAAUAUGAGUAAGUUUAAAUCUUAACAGUUUACCCUAACCUAG